GUCAGACGUUUCGCCGGUUAGGGCUUCAUCAGUGACACAAAACUUUGUGUCACUGAUGAAGCUCUAUCAGGCGAAACGUCUGAC